rnacentral:rRNA from 1 species
CCUACGGGUGGCUGCAGUGAGGAAUAUUGGUCAAUGGGCGUAAGCCUGAACCAGCCAAGUCGCGUGAGGGAUGAAGGCUCUAUGGAUUGUAAACCUCUUUUAUCAGGGAAUAAAGUGUGGGACGUGUCCUUUUUUGUAUGUACCCUAUGAAUAAGGAUCGGCUAACUCCGUGCCAGCAGCCGCGGUAAUACGGGGGAUCCGAGCGUUAUCCGGAUUUAUUGGGUUUAAAGGGUGCGGAGGCGGCAUUUUAAGUCAGCGGUGAAAGUCUGUGGCUCAACCAUAGACAGGCCGGUGAAACUGGGGGGCUUGAGUAUGUUAGAGGCAGGCGGAAUGCGUGGUGUAGCGGUGAAAUGCUUAGAUAUCACGCAGAACCCCGAUUGCGAAGGCAGCCUGC